UGCGAGGGGGGAAGCGACCGCCGCUCAACUUCGGCCGGGUACGAAGGCGACCGCGACGAGUCGACGGCGACUCCCCCCAACGCGCGCCCACACCGCGAUGUCGGCCUCAUUAGAACCCCGCGAUAACUCCGCCGCGGCGUCGUGAGGUGAGGGGGGUGGUUUCGGCAACGUUCGACGUGCAAAGGCCAAGGGAGAGGCCGCGUCGCUUCUGCUUCGAUCUCCGGGCGCGGCAGUCGCGACGCGAGUGCGAAGUUCUUGUAGAGGCGCUUCGCUCGCUGCUCCCCACCCCCCUUCUCCUCCCGCCCGCAACUGUGUCCACGUGAGACCUGAAGACUCUUCUUGUUGGCGCCGAGUGCUGUUGGCGAGUCGCGAAUACUCUCAAGGACGCGGCGGCACAACACGAGGGCGGGUCGCAUGUUGCCUCCCUUCGUGGUCGAUGUGCUUUGUCGUCGUCGUUGUUGUUGAGGCCGACUCAACCUGUUGGGGAGGGCCCGCUUUCAAGACGAUCGUCUCUGGCGUUGGUGGCCGUGAGCGGGAAUCCGUGCGCUCCGGGUUCGCGCAUGCUUCAAGACAACUGUAGCGUGUCCGCUUUGAGGAGCGGGGGGAACACUGUGGGUUGUUCUGUGCGUGGCGGUCAAUUGUUAACGGUGCACUCCGGUCGUGUUGUUGAAUAUUGUAAAAACGGGUUGUUUUGAUCCCUUUUGAGGCUUUGUUAGGGUGACGUGCAAUUCAGACUUGGGUGAAGUUGUUUUGAGGCUUUGUUAGGGUGACGUGCAAUUCAGACUUGGGUGAAGUUGGCCAGAAAGGUGAUGUGUGUGGUCGGGGGUUGGGGCGUUCGAGUUUGUAUCAUGAGAGUUGUGAAUGCACGUAUGAAUAUAUUGUUUAGUCUUAAGUCGGAAAUAUAAAAUGUAAACCAGGCCACAUUCUUCACUUGCAGCAGUUUCAUUUGCGCUACUGGCCAGGGGGGGGGGGAUAGGAAAUGUGUAGACCCUCAUAGCAGUACCGUCACACGACUGCUCACACCGAGAUGAUAUGUGCCAUGAAAUUAGCUUUAAAACAUAGUCUGUGUGUGUUUUUGGUGAGAAGCCCGCUGUACAUUUUAAUGUUUUGUCCGUGAAAUUAACUCUGCUGUCUUGCACCGCUGUCCAAUUGUGGUCUACAUAAACUUGCGCCAUGUUGACAUUUCCUCUUAAUUAUUAAGGUCGUCGCUGUGUACACAGGUCAACCAUGUAUGGCGCUCGCUUAGCUGCCCGUGACUCUCCGUCAAGACGGGUCUGCGUUUUUUUAUGAUAUUUAUAAGAAUUGGUUUUACCCUUUCUGGCAAUAAAACAGGAGGUGUUAAGAUGUUCAAAUCACCAAAUAGAAACAUUUUGCAAGGAAUCAUGUCUGCAUUAACCACACAUACUUGUGGUGAACAUGCAAACAAUAAAUAUGCUCUGGUAGUGUAUGAUGCAUUGUCUUUCAAACUGAUUGGUCCAUACCACAGACAGCCUUUUAGAGCCUCGUCUCCAACAGCGUUAGACCAUAGAACGACAAAAGGCGAAUAGCACAAAGACAAUAUAAUAAUAGGGUUUUCCCCUUUUUUCUGGCGUCAUCUGGUCGAGCACCAAUUGGGUCGAGGCUCAAAAGAAAGCCAUCCCUUGGUGUGGACCAAUCAUU